rnacentral:rRNA from 1 species
CCUACGGGAGGCAGCAGUAGGGAAUCUUCCGCAAUGGACGAAAGUCUGACGGAGCAACGCCGCGUGAGUGAAGAAGGUUUUCGGAUCGUAAAACUCUGUUGUUAGGGAAGAACAAGUGCCGUUCGAAUAGGGCGGCACCUUGACGGUACCUAACCAGAAAGCCACGGCUAACUACGUGCCAGCAGCCGCGGUAAUACGUAGGUGGCAAGCGUUGUCCGGAUUUAUUGGGCGUAAAGCGCGCGCAGGUGGUUUCUUAAGUCUGAUGUGAAAGCCCACGGCUCAACCGUGGAGGGUCAUUGGAAACUGGGGGAACUUGAGCGCAGAAGAGGAAAGUGGAAUUCCAAGUGUAGCGGUGAAAAUGCGUAGAUAUUUGGAGGAACACCAGUGGCGAAAGCGACUUUCUGGUCUGUAACUGACACUGAGGCGUGAAAGCGUGGGGAAGCAACCAGGAUUAGAUACCCUGGUAGUCUACGCCGUAAACGAUGAGUGCUAAGUGUUAGAGGGUUUCCGCCCUUUAGUGCUGCAGCUAACGCAUUAAGCCACUCCGCCUGGGGGAGUACGGU